rnacentral:rRNA from 1 species
CAGGAUGAACGCUGGCGGCGUGCUUAACACAUGCAAGUCGAACGGAGUACCCCUGAAGGAGUUUUCGGACAACUGAUGGGACUACUUAGUGGCGGACGGGUGAGUAACGCGUGAGUAACCUGCCUUGGAGUGGGGAAUAACAGCUGGAAACAGCUGCUAAUACCGCAUAAUAUGUCUGUGUCGCAUGGCACUGGACAUCAAAGAUUUAUCGCUCUGAGAUGGACUCGCGUCUGAUUAGCUAGUUGGCGGGGUAACGGCCCACCAAGGCGACGAUCAGUAGCCGGACUGAGAGGUUGGCCGGCCACAUUGGGACUGAGACACGGCCCAGACUCCUACGGGAGGCAGCAGUGGGGAAUAUUGGGCAAUGGGCGCAAGCCUGACCCAGCAACGCCGCGUGAAGGAAGAAGGCUUUCGGGUUGUAAACUUCUUUUCUCAGGGACGAAGCAAGUGACGGUACCUGAGGAAUAAGCCACGGCUAACUACGUGCCAGCAGCCGCGGUAAUACG